rnacentral:misc_RNA from 1 species
AGGAAGAGUAGAAUACAUUAUUCGUCUGCAAAAUUUCUUCAGUUAUUCUGCCAUUUGAGGGUUGCAAAUGGGAACGGAAGGUGAGCAAUUGACGGAGCAGGAAACUGCCAUCUAUGAUCGACAAAUUAGGGUUUGGGGCGUUGAUGCUCAGAGAAGGCUCAGCAAAUCCAAUGUGUUUGUUAGUGGGCUGAGAGGAACUAGUGUUGAGUUCUGCAAGAAUAUUGUUUUAGCUGGAGUAGGUAGUUUGACACUAAAUGAUGACCGGUUGGUGACCGAAGAUCUAUUAUUUGCUAAUUUCUUAACUCCUCCCGCUGAAAAUGAUUUCCGGGGGAAGUCUGUUGCUGAGCUUUGCUGUGAUUCUUUGAAGGAUUUCAAUCCUAUGGUUUCUGUUUCUGUAGAGAAAGGUGCUCUGUCCAUCUUCGAUGCUGAUUUCUUUCAGAAGUUUGAUGUUGUUGUUGUUAAUUGUUGCUCCCUUUUGACAAAAAAAUCAGUAAAUGCAAAAUGUCGCAAGUUGCCAAAGCGUGUUGCAUUUUACAGUGUAGAAUGCCGUGACUCCUGCGGUGAGAUAUUUGUUGAUUUACAGAACUACAGCUACUGUAAGAAAAAAAAUGAAGAGACAAUUGAAUGUAAAUUGCAUUAUCCAAGUUUUGAGGAAGCCAUUGCAGUCCCCUGGAGAUCUCUACCGAAGAGAAUGUCAAAGCUGUAUUAUGCAAUGAGAGUUAUAGAAAGGUUUGAAGAGCUUGAGGGACGAAAUCCUGGAGAAACUUCUGUUGAUGACCUUCCAAAUGUUCAGAAGUUGAGGAAGGAACUCUGCGAGGCACAUUCCUUAAAUGAAUCUCAGAUCCCAGAUUCUCUUCUGAGAAGAUUGAUAGCAAGUAUAAGUGAAUUUCCUCCUGUCUGUGCUAUCGUUGGAGGAAUUCUCGGACAGGAGGUAAUAAAAGCAAUAUCUGGCAAAGGCGAUCCUCUUAAGAACUUUUUCUUCUUUAACGCCAUGGAUGGUAAAGGGAUAAUAGAGGACAUAUCUAAUGGCAAGAGCUGAGGAUUGACCUGUGUGGUAAAAACUAUCUUUAAGAAAUGCUGACCUUGUUGGGUAUCUUUUUUUAGGACUAAUCACAACCUAAACUAUCUGACAUUCCUUUAAAUUG